ACCUGGCUGGCUCAGUUGGUUGAGCGUUCGACUUUAGCUCAGGUCAUGAUCUCGUGCUUUGUGAGUUUGAGCCUCACGUCAGGCU
rnacentral:tRNA from 1 species